rnacentral:rRNA from 1 species
GACGAACGCUGGCGGCGUGCUUAACACAUGCAAGUCGAACGGUGAAGCGCCUUUCUUUUUGGUGGGUGUGGAUGAGUGGCGGACGGGUGAGCAACACGUGAGUAACCUGCCCCCUUCGUCAGGAUAACCGCAUGAAAGCGUGGAUAAUACGGGAUAUUCUGGGUCUGUCGCAUGAUGGGUCAGGGAAAGAUAUUGUUUCGGUGGGGGAUGGGCUCGCGGUCGGUCAGCUGGUUGGUGGGGUGAUGGCCUACGAUGGCGGUGACGGGUAGCCGGCCUGAGAGGGUGGACCGUCACGCGGGGACUAACGGACGGGCCGGACUCGUGCGGCAGCCAGCAGUGCUGAGUGUGGCAGGAGGGGCGAAAGGCUGAUGCAGGGCCGACGCGUGAUGGAUGGACGCCGUCGGGUUGUGAACGUCCUUCGCCAGGGAAGCAGGUCUGGCUCGUGUGUGGGUGGGUUGACGGUAGCUGGAUAAAAAGGGCCGGCUAACUACGUG